rnacentral:lncRNA from 10 species
UAGGCAGAUUUAUUUAGAAAAAGUCCAUUUAAAAAUUGAUAAAUUAAGACUCCAGUGGAAACUUCUGCUCAAAACACUAUAAAAAAAAUCAAGAGUCAAGACACACAAUGGGGAAAAUAUUUGCAAAAUAACUGACAAGGAAUUUUAUUCAAAAUACAUAGAGUUCCUAUAACUUGGUAAUAAAAACGAACCUAAUUUAAAAAUACACACUCAAAGACAUAUUAAUGGCCAAUAAACACGAGAACGUGUUCAUUAGUCAGAGAAAUGCAGACUGAAACCACAAGAUACCACUACAUGCCCAGAAGUCACAAUAUUUGUGUGCAAAUGUUCAUAGCAGCUUUACUCACACUUGCCAAAAACUAGAAACCAAUAAAAUGUUCACUAACAGGAAAACAGAUUAACAAAUUAUAGUAUAUUCAUACAAUCGAGUCCUACUCAGCAAUAAGGACUGUUGAACCUCAACAAUGUUUACGCUGAAAGAAUUACAAAGCUCCAGGGAAGGAAAUAAAAAUGAACCCUAGUCUAUGAUGAAAACAUUUGAGCUUGGUGGUGGUGGGAGAUUGCUUAAUUGCCUGGGUAGAGUAAGCUCCUUUUGUCCUGGUAAGCUACUUGGGAAGCUGCAGCAAGACUGCUUGAGCCUAGGAGUUCAAGGAAGCAGUAUGCUAUGAUCGCACCUGUUAACAGCCACGGCACUCCAGCCUAGACAACAGAACAAGAUCCUAAAUUAAAAAAAAUAAAGAAAAUGAUCAAGGUUAUAAAUUUUUUUCUACUUAAUAGAAAUAACCAUGAAUGAAAUAAGGAAACUUAUUUGAGUUUGAUCAUCCUCAACCAAUGUUUUAAGAGUCUAGUCUAUAAUAAAGGUUGGGACCUAACACUUUUAAACUUCUGUCUAACUCCAAACUCAUAAAUACACAUUGUUGUAUUGAUUUUAAACUUCAGACAUGUAGUAUUUGGUCAAGUAGGCUACUUAAAAAACAGGGCAACAGAAAAGUUUCUGAAUGUCACUAGACAAUUAAACUUUUAUUGAAGCGUAAAUUGUGGUACAGAAAUACAUUUCAACUGAUUUAAGUCCAACACCAGUGAAAGGAGAA